AGCUCCAAUAGCGUAUAUUAAAGUUGUUGCAGUUAAACGCUCGUAGUCGGAUUUCGGGGCGGGCCGACCGGUCUGCCGAUGGGUAUGCACUGGCCGGCGCGUCCUUCCUUCCGGAGACGCCGCCUACUCUUAGCUGAGCGGGCGGCGGAGACGGAUCGUUUACUUUGAAAAAUCAGAGUGUUUCAAGCAGGCAGCUCGCUCUUGCAUGGAUUAGCAUGGGAUAAUGAAUAGGACUUUGGUGCUAUUUUGUUGGUUUCGAACACCGAAGUAAUGAUUAACAGGGACAGUCAGGGGCACUCGUAUUCCGCCGAGAGAGGUGAAAUUCNCAGACCAGCGGAAGACGAACCA
rnacentral:rRNA from 1 species